UUGUCCUUAAUUCAACGGUUAGAAUGCAUUUUUGAUAAGGAUGUUAUAGAGGUUCGAUUCCUCUAGGACAAAA
rnacentral:tRNA from 1 species